CGGGUUUUUGCUAUUUAGUCUGGCAUAUUUUCUUAUUUCAGUUAGGAUCUAUGCCAAGAACUUUUCGUCAGAGACUGCUAUGCGCAAGCAAAUGACACCCCCCUUUUCGUGUCAUUCUCCUACCCGAUAAAGGUGUCGUAGACCGGUUAAGAAAAAAAAAUUACCUCGUGCAAUACGCAUCGACAACCUUUUCCCCUCAUAUCUUCGUGACGGGAGGUUACCUGAAGGGUGACAGAGCAAAUGUCUAAUUUGAAUAAUAUGGAUUGCAGCUCGAAAAAAAUGGAAGUUAAUUUUCAAAUAACAAGAACGCAGAUUCUACCCAUGACAGCUUAUGCAACUUGGACGCAUUGAUCUUAUUAAAACUCUGUUGAUAUGGGUUUUGAUUUAAGAGACAUGCACUUUUUUUGUACGAGAAGCGAUGUCUGAGCUGGUGACACGGUUGCGGUUUGUAAAAAAACAUUGUUCGAUCUGUAUAAUAUAAAGCUGAAAUAAAGUCAAAAGGGGCCGUCCAUAAUGACUGUUUUCACACACGCCAA